GAUGAACGCUAGCGGCAGGCUUAACACAUGUAAGUCGAGGGGCAGCAGGGGUAGCAAUACUCGCUGGCGACCGGCAAACGGGUGCGGAACACGUACGCAAUCUACCUUUGUCUGGGGCAUAGCCCGGUGAAAACCGGAUUAACUCCCCAUAGUAUCUAUGAGUGGCAUCACUUGCAGAUUAAAAAUUUAUUGGACAGAGAUGAGCGUGCGUCCCAUUAGCUAGUUGGUAGGGUAACGGCCUACCAAGGCGACGAUGGGUAGCUGGUGUGAGAGCACGACCAGCCACACGGGCACUGAGACACGGGCCCGACUCCUACGGGAGGCAGCAGUGAGGAAUAUUGGUCAAUGGACGCAAGUCUGAACCAGCCAUGCCGCGUGAAGGAUGAAGGGCGUUUCUGCGUUUGUUAAAACUUUCUUUUUAUUGGGGAAGAAAAGUACGGUUUCUACUGUAUCCGACGGUACCCAAGGAAUAAGCACCGGCUAACUCCGUGCCAG
rnacentral:rRNA from 1 species